rnacentral:rRNA from 1 species
GAGUUUGAUCCUGGCUCAGGACGAACGCUGGCGGCGUGCUUAACACAUGCAAGUCGAACGAGGCUGGACCUUCGGGUCCGGUCAAGUGGCGAACGGGUGAGUAACACGUGAGGAACCUGCCCCGGAGACCGGGAUAACCAGGGGAAACUCUGGCUAAUACCGGAUGCCCCCGGAUGGUCGCAUGGCCAACCGAGGAAACGCUCCGGUGCUCCGGGAGGGCCUCGCGGCCUAUCAGCUUGUUGGUGGGGUAACGGCCUACCAAGGCAUCGACGGGUAGCUGGUCUGAGAGGACGAUCAGCCACACUGGGACUGAGACACGGCCCAGACUCCUACGGGAGGCAGCAGUGGGGAAUAUUGCGCAAUGGGCGAAAGCCUGACGCAGCAACGCCGCGUGGGGGAUGAAUGCCUUCGGGUUGUAAACCCCUUUCAGCAGGGACGAAAAUGACGGUACCUGCAGAAGAAGCCCCGGCCAACUACGUGCCAGCAGCCGCGGUAACACGUAGGGGGCAAGCGUUGUCCGGAUUUAUUGGGCGUAAAGAGCUCGUAGGCGGUUGCGUAAGUCGGAUGUGAAAACUCAGGGCUCAACCCGGAGACGCCAUCCGAUACUGCGCUGACUAGAGUCCGGU